rnacentral:lncRNA from 1 species
AGUGCAGCGUAAGAUGCCCUGGCAUAUCAAGGGCGGUUCAUGAGUGGGUGCCUUCAGCUUGGGAGGAAGCAGGCAUAGGGCUGAUGCAUCGCAGUGUCCACAUAUGCAGGGAGGCUGGUUUCCUAGGAAGCCUCCCAAUGAGGAAAUUGUUGGGAAUGUGCUGCAAGGCGCUGCCUCGCUCUGGAGCCAGACGAGAGGCCGGAGCAUCCGCCCCAACAUGGCUGGCUGUGUGAGCCUCAGGAACGCUGGCAGCUCUGCAAGACUCUCUGCCAUCUGCAAAAUAAGUAUGAAGAUAUGGUUUCCACACCAAUGUUAGGCCUUCUCAAGGAGCUUAGAGUGUGUCGGUGGAGAGGGAGAAGCCCAACGGGAGAUCUUAUUCCACCUCUGCACGUCUUCAGGACCCCUGUGGAAACAUGUGAUCUCUAACAGUCUCUCUGGGGCUCUGCCCACCCCCAGCAGUGUCACCUCACAUCACCGCACAAUAAGAACUUUCUCAUCAUGAACAUAGCUUUCUCUGGAGAAGCUGGGAAGUGCUUAACUAUGCCAGAAGCUGGACAAUUCAGGUAGAAGUGUAAAUGUUGGCCUAACCUUCAAAGGACAGAAAUAGCUUUCUUUGAAAGUUCUCAAAGGUGUUUCAGAACUCUGGAAAAUUUUAAAUCUUAAAAUAACACUACAAUUGUC